AGCGGAUGACUUGUGGCUAGGGGUGAAAGGCCAAUCAAACUCGGAGAUAGCUGGUUCUCCCCGAAAGCUAUUUAGGUAGCGCCUCGGACGAAUACUACUGGGGGUAGAGCACUGUUAAGGCUAGGGGGUCAUCCCGACUUACCAACCCUUUGCAAACUCCGAAUACCAGUAAGUACUAUCCGGGAGACACACGGCGGGUGCUAACGUCCGUCGUGGAGAGGGAAACAACCCAGACCGCCAGCCCCUAAGGUCCCAAAUUACAGCUAAGUGGGAAACGAUGUGGGAAGGCUUAGACAGCUAGGAUGUUGGCUUAGAAGCAGCCAUCAUUUAAAGAAAGCGUAAUAGCUCACUAGUCGAGUCGGCCUGCGCGGAAGAUGUAACGGGGCUAAGUUGUAAACCGAAGCUGCGGCAAUGUUCUAUGAACAUUGGGUAGGGGAGCGUUCUGUAAGCCGUUGAAGGUGUGUUGUAAAGCAUGCUGGAGGUAUCAGAAGUGCGAAUGCUGACAUGAGUAACGACAAGGGGGGUGAAAAACCUCCCCGCCGGAAGACCAAGGGUUCCUGUCCAACGUUAAUCGGGGCAGGGUAAGUCGACCCCUAAGGCGAGGCUGAAAAGCGUAGUCGAUGGGAAACGGGUUAAUAUUCCCGUACUUCUUACAAUUGCGAUGGGGGGACGGAGAAGGCUAGGUGGGCCUGGCGACGGUUGUCCAGGUUCAAGUGCGUAGGCUGAGUGUUUAGGUAAAUCCGGAUACUCUUAAGGCUGAGACACGACGUCGAGCUACUACGGUAGUGAAGUCAUUGAUGCCAUGCUUCCAGGAAAAGCCUCUAAGCUUCAGAUUGUAAGGAAUCGUACCCCAAACCGACACAGGUGGUCGGGUAGAGAAUACCAAGGCGCUUGAGAGAACUCGGGUGAAGGAACUAGGCAAAAUGGUACCGUAACUUCGGGAGAAGGUACGCUCUUGAUGGUGAAGUCCCUUGCGGAUGGAGCUGACGAGAGUCGCAGAUACCAGGUGGCUGCAACUGUUUAUUAAAAACACAGCACUGUGCAAAAUCGUAAGAUGACGUAUACGGUGUGACGCCUGCCCGGUGCCGGAAGGUUAAUUGAUGGGGUUAGCGCAAGCGAAGCUCUUGAUCGAAGCCCCGGUAAACGGCGGCCGUAACUAUAACGGUCCUAAGGUAGCGAAAUUCCUUGUCGGGUAAGUUCCGACCUGCACGAAUGGCGUAAUGAUGGCCACGCUGUCUCCACCCGAGACUCAGUGAAAUUGAAAUCGCUGUGAAGAUGCAGUGUACCCGCGGCUAGACGGAAAGACCCCGUGAACCUUUACUACAGCUUGGCACUGAACAUUGAACCUACAUGUGUAGGAUAGGUGGGAGGCUUUGAAGACGUGACGCCAGUUGCGUUGGAGCCGUCCUUGAAAUACCACCCUUGUAUGUUUGAUGUUCUAACGUUGGCCCCUAAUCGGGGUUGCGGACAGUGCCUGGUGGGUAGUUUGACUGGGGCGGUCUCCUCCCAAAGAGUAACGGAGGAGCACGAAGGUGGGCUAAUCACGGUUGGACAUCGUGAGGUUAGUG
rnacentral:rRNA from 1 species